rnacentral:rRNA from 3 species
UUUUCAGAGAUGAGAAUGUGCCUUCGGGAACCGUGAGACAGGUGCUGCAUGGCUGUCGUCAGCUCGUGUUGUGAAAUGUUGGGUUAAGUCCCGCAACGAGCGCAACCCUUAUCCUUUGUUGCCAGCGGUCCGGCCGGGAACUCAAAGGAGACUGCCAGUGAUAAACUGGAGGAAGGUGGGGAUGACGUCAAGUCAUCAUGGCCCUUACGACCAGGGCUACACACGUGCUACAAUGGCGCAUACAAAGAGAAGCGACCUCGCGAGAGCAAGCGGACCUCAUAAAGUGCGUCGUAGUCCGGAUUGGAGUCUGCAACUCGACUCCAUGAAGUCGGAAUCGCUAGUAAUCGUGGAUCAGAAUGCCACGGUGAAUACGUUCCCGGGCCUUGUACACACCGCCCGUCACACCAUGGGAGUGGGUUGCAAAAGAAGUAGGUAGCUUAACCUUCGGGAGGGCGCUUACCACUUUGUGAUUCAUGACUGGGGUGAAGUCGUAACAAGGUAACCGUAGGGGAACCUGCGGUUGGAUCACCUCCUUACCUUAAAGAA